GUCUCUCAACGCAGACGACACCGCUCAUAUUGAGAAUGUCCAGGCUGUUGAGGAGGAAAAGAGACUUCCGCUUCAAAGGUGUGGGGGGCGCCGUGGUAGUUUAAAGGGGACUACAAAAUGGGGGGGGGAGAGAAAGAGAAGAAGAGAAAAGGAAGCGUGGAGAGUAAGAAAGGAACGACAGCAACUGCGUAGAAACUGAAGAGCGCUGCUUCCUAAACCUUCGCUCGUCUAACCGAGUCCGCGACCGAACAGAGCCUUGGCGCGCAGGCAACAAACACAGAAAGAGAGAAAGGGCGGGAAGGGCUACCAGAACCGACGUCAAUCGCGACGAGAGAGAGAACAAACGCAGCACCCUCUUCGAACGCCGACUGCCCGCCUUCUGCGGCUACUGCAGCUGCGGUUGGAGGGAUGGGUUAAAAAAAACACCGUUGCUACCCCUCCCCCUCCUGGCGGAGACUUUUCACAACUAGUGACCUUCCGCGCCUCCAAAAUGAAGUAGAUUUGAGGAAGGAAGCGAGAGAUAAAGAGAAUGCGGAUUGCUCUGGUAGCCGCGAAGGAGGAUGGAAAACGAGUUCCACUUCGCGACAGCCUAGAGUGCAAAGCGCUAGAGCCCCUCCCUCCCUCCCUUUUUGCUUCUCCGUUGCCGCUUGCUGCAAAGUGGGCACUAGGCUGCAGAUUGUCACGUAGGAGCCACUAACUUGCCAGACCUCAUGGUUCCUUCAUUCCAAUGAAAUUUGGAGUGUUCUAUCUACUGGACCAGAAACAACUCUGUUGACAGAUUUUGUUUUAGACGUAUCUGUACUCAUCUUACAACAGUUCAAUGUUGAUAGUUAUGGAAAGAUGCCCAUAAGAAUUUUUCUGUUUUCUUUGCAAGUAUCAGCCUUUAAGCACUUGAAACCAAAGCUAUUCAUAUUGCUCAGCGUAACAAACACAACAGUUCAACUGACCAGUUAUGCUGCCCAUUCAAUAUCUUUUGUCCUCAGAGCAAACAGAUAAUACCUACAUCAGAACUGGAUAUGUACCCAAACCAUUAAUUUCUUUCUGUUUUACUCUGGGCAGAAAGGGCUGACAAAGAAUCUCUGUACAUCUUAUAACCAGCAGAAAUUUUGAGGAUGUUUAAAAGACAUGGUGGUUGACUACCUCAGCUUGACAUGCUAUUGUAAAAACCCAUGUGACAGUUUUCCCCUCAGAGAUAAAAUCUUUUUCUUGAA